GCCCUCCUUCGCGUGCUCAGCGCUUCCCAACCAAGCCCCAGCCCAGCCACCUCCCCGGCCUCCCGUGCCCAACAUCUCACGGCCAAACGCGCACCUGCCCACGCUCCACACGCUCUCAAGACGAUGGGGAGCAAACUCCGGUUCCUACAACGUGCCAGUCACCAGCGUUCCCUGCGUCUGACAGUGUGCCUGGCACGCGGCGGGGGCUUAAACACCAACAAUGCUUGCAGGGAAGCCCACUGAAGAUGCAUCUGAAGCACACAAACUCAUGUUUUUAAAGAAAAUUGGACUCAAUUUUGAUUUGUGGCACUGCAAGAGAAAGUGUUUACUUUUCCUUUUCUUUAAAGGCCACUGUGCAAACUAAUAAAUCAAUCAACGGACUCAGUUCCACACCUGGGCUAGAAGACUCUGAGGUCCCUUCCAACCACUCGCCUUUGGAGAACAGAGAUGACACAGGUGGCCAGCAGCUGUUUGUCAGACAUCUGCUCUGGAUAAUCCGCAACUGCGAACACACAUCCCAAGUUCACUAUGAACGUGUGAAGCGAGUCACGCCUGACCAUCACGUAUCCACCAGUACGGUGAGGACCUCGGGCACACUGCUGCAAACAUAGCUGCUCGCCUGUCUACGUCAAGUGACCGAGAACAUGAAACCAACGGCUCCUGCCUGGGCACUGAGCAUCCCGAGCUGGUCCCUGCGGCGGCCUGAUGUUCUAUGGACGCCAGUGUUCACCUCAGGGUAUGGCGUCCCGAAGUACCAAAGAAAUCUAACUGUUCCGUCCUCGUAACUACCUCCUCUGUUAGGUAACGAGACCCCCAUUCCCCGUUUUCUAAGCGUUAUUUUGGCAUGAAUCCUUACCCUACCCGCAAACACUCUCCAAGUAAGUACGAGACUUUUGGGAGAAGAAAAAGGAAGAAAGCACA